GGCGGAUGUAGCCAAGUGGAUCAAGGCAGUGGAUUNGUGNAUC
rnacentral:tRNA from 2 species